rnacentral:rRNA from 1 species
GUGGGGAAUAUUGGACAAUGGGCGAAAGCCUGAUCCAGCCAUGCCGCGUGUGUGAAGAAGGUCUUCGGAUUGUAAAGCACUUUAAGUUGGGAGGAAGGGCAGUAAGUUAAUACCUUGCUGUUUUGACGUUACCGACAGAAUAAGCACCGGCUAACUUCGUGCCAGCAGCCGCGGUAAUACGAAGGGUGCAAGCGUUAAUCGGAAUUACUGGGCGUAAAGCGCGCGUAGGUGGUUUUGUAAGUUGGAGGUGAAAUCCCCGGGCUCAACCUGGGAACUGCCUCCAAAACUGCAUGACUAGAGUACGGUAGAGGGUAGUGGAAUUUCCUGUGUAGCGAUGAAAUGCGUAGAUAUAGGAAGGAACACCAGUGGCGAAGGCGACUACCUGGACUGAUACUGACACUGAGGUGCGAAAGCGUGGGGAGCAAACAGGAUUAGAUACCCUUGUAGUCC